rnacentral:rRNA from 1 species
UCCUACGGGAGGCAGCAGUGAGGAAUAUUGGACAAUGGGCGCAAGCCUGAUCCAGCCAUGCCGCGUGCAGGAUGACGGUCCUAUGGAUUGUAAACUGCUUUUAUACAGGAAGAAACAGUUCUACGUGUAGAACCUUGACGGUACUGUAAGAAUAAGGAUCGGCUAACUCCGUGCCAGCAGCCGCGGUAAUACGGAGGAUCCAAGCGUUAUCCGGAAUCAUUGGGUUUAAAGGGUCCGUAGGCGGUCAGAUAAGUCAGUGGUGAAAGCCCAUCGCUCAACGGUGGAACGGCCAUUGAUACUGUCUGACUUGAAUUAUUAGGAAGUAACUAGAAUAUGUAGUGUAGCGGUGAAAUGCUUAGAGAUUACAUGGAAUACCAAUUGCGAAGUCAGGUUACUACUAAUUGAUUGACGCUGAUGGACGAAAGCGUGGGUAGCGAACAGGAUUAGAUACCCUGGUAGUCCACGCCGUAAACGAUGGAUACUAGCUGUUGGGAGCAAUCUCAGUGGCUAAGCGAAAGUGAUAAGUAUCCCACCUGGGGAGUACGUUCGCAAGAAUGAAACUCAAAGGAAUUGACGGGGGCCCGCACAAGCGGUGGAGCAUGUGGUUUAAUUCGAUGAUACGCGAGGAACCUUACCAAGGCUUAAAUGUAGAUUGACCGGUUUGGAAACAGACUUUUCGCAAGACAAUUUACAAGGUGCUGCAUGGUUGUCGUCAGCUCGUGCCGUGAGGUGUCAGGUUAAGUCCUAUAACGAGCGCAACCCCUGUUGUUAGUUGCCAGCGAGUCAUGUCGGGAACUCUAACAAGACUGCCAGUGCAAACUGUGAGGAAGGUGGGGAUGACGUCAAAUCAUCACGGCCCUUACGCCUUGGGCUACACACGUGCUACAAUGGCCGGUACAGAGAGCAGCCACUGGGCGACCAGGAGCGAAUCUAUAAAACCGGUCACAGUUCGGAUCGGAGUCUGCAACUCGACUCCGUGAAGCCGGAAUCGCUAGUAAUCGGAUAUCAGCCAUGAUCCGGUGAAUACUUCCCGGGCCUUGUACACACCGCCAUCGGAUCC